GUUUCUUCUUCUCUCCUGACAGGUGGGUCCUUCCGCCCCUCCCUGCUAAAGUCUCCUCCCUCAGUUUAACUGCUCUUACCACGAGCAAACAUCAAACAGCUGAUACUAAGGUGUCAUAAAACUGGGAGGGUUCCGCCUCUGUCUUCUGCGCCUGUUUGUAUUGGGUGGAAAGUCUAAACCAUAAAGGGAUGAUGCUGGUCAUGAGAUAAAGUGAGAAUUCAGUUGUUGGUGGGGAUGUGGCUCAGGGCUCUUUCAGAGAUCUGGCUUGACCAGUUCCUGACUGUGCGGGAGUAUUCAGUCUAACACUGGGCCACUGUUCUCCCAAGUGCUGCCUCUUCAUAAUGUAAUUUCUUCAGAUGUUGUUAAGCCAAACACGCAGUGAUUUAAAGUCCUCUAGGCUAAAAUCACUGUAUGUUUGAGAUCUUUCCAUGGCUGGUUUUGUGCUUAAACAACAUAUCAGUAACUGAAUCUCUUCUGAUUGGCUGCCCAUGAUGCGUUUUCCAAGAACAUUCAGUGUAUAAAUCAUUGGCAGUGCCAGUGCCUAUAAAUCUUGGAGAAAGUUUGCUCUUAUUUUACUCAGAGUGAGAAAAUGUGACACUUCCUAAGGCAACAAUUUAUUUUGGACUGUGCUUUUUGCACGCUAGCGGAAAAACAAGUUAUCUUUGAAAUUUAGUUCUGCACUAAAAUGCUGUAUGGUUCACAAAUUGCUCUAGAUUAUUCAGGCAAGCCUAAGCCUCACAAACAUUUAACAAAGAGCACAAAAGGGCUUGUAGGUGCCAUAUAUUAUGUCACUACAUGUGUAUUUUCAAGAAAAGUGCUCUUAUGUGUAAGACCAAACAGAGCAAGAGAAAAGACAGAGUGAUGAAAGUUUUGAAAGCAAAGGCAACCCAGAAUUUUGAGUCACAAAAACUUGCUAUUGCAAUCUGUCGCUCUCGUGAUGACACCUUGUUUACCACCCUGCCAAGGUUUGAACUGAGCUGAACCAAGGUCAGAGGUUGAGGAGCAGGCAGAGGUUGUUCCUUUUUGUCAUGCCAAACAUAGUUGAACCCAAUCACACAGACCUGCAAAGUCAGUGGUGUGUACUCCAUUUUCAAAUAAGCUCUAACAAAGAAAAAGGGAGGGCUUCAGAUAACAGAGGUAUGUCUCUGAUGUCACUGAGUGUUUCAGGUAUUGUUACAUCUACACUCCUCAUCUUGAUAAGAUGAGACAGAAGUUAAACAUGAACGAUAAUUAUUUUCAUGUAACCAUUAAAGGUUUAAUAUCAACACAAUUAGAUUAAUUGAAUAAAAAAUUAAAUCCAGUUUACCUGCUGACCUGAGUCUGACUGCCCCCUUCCUCAUGUUAACUCCUCUUAUCUCCGUUUCUGACCCUGACUGCUGUCCUGUCUUCUCAUUAAAGGCAUAAAAAGCUGAAAAUUAAUCUUUAGAUUAAAAGUGUAUGUUUCAAAUGGACCCUUUGUAUUGAAGAGAAAAAUAAGGAAACUAUAGUUUACCGAAUAAAAGUGAAAUUAUGUUGGAUUACAGUUAUUCAAAUCAGACCGCAUACAAAUAAAGUCAUGCAAAUAUUUUCAUCUGUCUGAUAUGAAUUUUAGGAUUUUCACACUGGUGAAACUUGAACUAAAUUAAGCAGCAACCUCAUUUGGACACAUUAGCAGAAUUCUUAGACUAAAAACUUUUGGUUCUGUCGUUCUGCAUGUUUAGAGCUUCUUUUUGUCUGAGGGUUUUUUUUCUCUCUGUUUCUUAUGAUGUAAAUUGAGAGAGAAGCCCACUGAGCAUUUUUUGGUCUAAAAGAGGUCUAAUAGAAGUCUAAAUGUAGCCUAGACGACUGGUCUGAAAUCAGUUUAAAUUUAGACCAAGUGUAGACUAAAUCUAAAUCUGGGCUAUAUCAGUAUUAACUGUAUGUUGCUCAACAGCUAUCAUAAUUAUUUUGGUUAAGUACUUGGAGAUCAGUUAUGCAAAUCACAUAUGCUUUUUUUAAAAAAUAGUUAUUGCAUAAUGAGUUUAAGUGCAAUGUCUCAAUUCUGUCUCAAAAUAUACAGAAUCUAGAUGGUUGAAAUUAGGUUUUAAAAAAAAAACUAAACGUCUAAUAGCCGUCUGUUGCUCAGUGGGAGACAACCCGUGUUUCCCUGCCUGAGGUUGUCCAGUUCUACCUCUUUAUCAACAUCAAGUGGUAGGCUGUGUACACUACAAGAGGCGAAGCAAAUCGACUCCAUCAUCAUCAUCAUCAUCAUCAUCAUCAUCACUACUCAGAGUUUCCCUACAGUGGGCGGUAUGUCAUGCAUUACUUUGGCUUUCUGUCAUGGUCCAGGGCUGGGCUACGCUGUGCUACCAGUAUGGCAAACUAAAGUCUGUAAUUUUGGUUCAACUAGAAAAAAAAAUGGUCAUGCUGGCUUCACUAUUUAAAAGCUUUAAAUUGUAGUUUUGUGUUUGAGAGCUUGUGUGGUGUGCUGUGUUGCUCACAGCCGACCACAGCUUGUUGUACUCCAGGAAUACACCAUGUUUUUUUUAUAUAGAUACUGUAAAUAUAAAUCAGAGCAGCUGUGUGACAGAAUGAAAAUCUUUGAGAUAUAUAGAGGUUACACAGUACAGUCGUGUGAAUCACAGGGUUUUCAUUUUAAAGUCAAUUUAUUUUAAGAGUAUUAUGUUUUUGGACACAUGGACUUUCUACAUUUUGGCCACAGAUAAAAAAGAGAAACUUGUAGUUUGGUAUAAAAAAACCUUGAUGGAAAAUGUUGAAGAUUGGGAAUGUCACAAGUAUGUUUUCAAUCAGAAGACCAUUAAAAACAUAUUUCUAAAAACUAAACAUUUAAACUGUUUUUGAAGGUCACUACUGCCUAAUUCUCUUACCCUUUUUAUGACCCUGACUGAUACAGAAAAUUCAUUUCCCUUCACCAGUUUCAUUUCAUUCUGGCCAGACUGUGAUUGUCUGUCUAUCUGUGCCUGUGACUAUGCGUUAUCGCAAUCUCAUUCUGUGUCUCUAUUGAGAGGCACGAGACCAGAAGCGACACAUGUCUGAGAAACAGUCCUGUGUUGACUCAACCUCUCCCCCCUCCACUUCUCUGCACUUCCGGCCCACUCAGACUUCCCAGCCAUGUUUCUUCCCAAUGGCAACAGAGCCACAAUAAAGACGAACAGCAGUGGCACGCAUAUACAGUGUGGUCGCAGGUUUUACCUUUUAAAAUCUUUUUUUUUGACCCUCAGUCUGUAGACAGAGGAGUUCCAAGUACAAAACACUUGUUUGGAAGAGAUUGCUCACAUGCGGAGAUGUCAGGAAGUUGGGGUUUAAAUACUUCCAGAAGUUCACGGGUCAUCCAGCAUGAUCUUUUUUUUAGUGGAGAGGAAAUAAUCAUCAUUCCAGCCACAUUCCUAUGUGAAUAUGUUUCUUCUUUUUGAGCAUACAAGCCUAUUUUUAUGAAGAAAAUCUGACUUUUUAAAAGAAGGAAACUGUUGCCAAAUUCUCUUAUGCGCAAAAAUAAAGCAGAUUGUGUAAUCCUUUCUGAGACCUCAUGAGGUUUCUGUAUGUAGCCCUUCAUACCAUGUGUUUCAGUAUAAAUACCACAUCCAGAGUGAAAUUCUUGUGCUCUCAACUGAAUGGAAAUUCCAACACAACUACAGUUUCCUCCCAGCAAGUGACUCAAUCAAAGCUCAGCUCAGUGUCUUCCACCCUUGGCCCUUCCUGCACAGUGGGCCUCUGGGUGUGUCUCCCUCCCUCUGACCUCAUGUUCCCAGAAAAUCCUCCAGAAACCUCAGCAGCACACUCGCUCACAUGCUGCAGCCUCAGUGUACACAACAACAAACUGGGUGGUGUGAAGACACACUCGUCACUUAGGUUGUUACGUCAACAUUGCUGAUUUUGGUGCUGGCGUCUGAGCCUGUUCAUUCAACCAGAGCAUACAGUGCUGUGUGCAUUUGUAUGUAGAUGUGUGUUUGUAUACGAGCAUCCUGUUUACACACCUCAGUUACUGCUGCCUGUGGUGAGAAAUUUCAACUCAAACAUGACUGUUCUUGCCAAAAAUACAAUUUGGUCUUAUUUUUUAAACCUUUUUCUAGAAUUUAAGGCUAAAUUUUAACCUUGCAAAUACUUAUAUACCUUUUAACUUCAAAACUUACAAAAGCAGCACUUAUCAACGUACGUAGGUUCAAUAAUAGGCACAAGUACAUCUCAGUGCCAAUAUGGCAUGCCAAAGACUCCUGGACCAGCUUGUGAUUAGAAUUAUAGAUUAAUGAAAAGAGGCUUAGUGUUUGGGAAAAAGACGAAAGUUUAAACAUUGCAGUAAAACUUUUGUAACAGGACUUGAACAUGUUCAGUGAGUUUUCUGGCCGGCUAAGACCAAAAAAACACAGUAGCUAAAGCAAACACGCUGACACUGAACUCGCAGUGUUAGGAUUAAAGGGGCACCUGACAGACAGACAGACAGACAGACAGACCGGCCGGCUGUCACAGUUUGUGUAAGUCAUACCUGAGUUUCUCUGAAUGCUGACGGGUGGUGACAGAUCUCCUGGGAAGUUGAGGUCCUCAGAAAGUGACAGAAAUCCCUGAAGGUGCUGUGAAUGGAUUUUUCCCCCCCGACUUCUGUUGGAGGUGCCGCUCUCUUUGAGUGAAAAAACUUGUUCUCUCUGCGUGGCGGAGCUCAGUCCAUGUGGCUGGAUGGGAAAUGGGAAAUGAACAGUCUGGGCAAAGGGCCAAGAGCAGAGGGAGUUUUAAAGACACAGCAGUUUUCAGUGUUACAAGGUUUAGUCACACUUUGCACUGUGGAAGUUACCAGUGAAACAUUUUCAGCAUUUUCAGCUGCUGUAUGUAUCAGCAUUUACCUCUCAGUUUAUUUCCACUUUUACCAUACAUAGUUUUACUUGCACUUCUACAACCUUGUUUGUUUUAAACUGGUGUAGAUUCCCAUGCAGCAUUGCAAUAUUAUGUACACUUAAGAAUUGAAGCCUCACAGUAAUGGCUUGUUUGUAUCAUAAACACAGUUUUCCCCUUUCAGUGGUUGAAGUGUGAGUCACACAUUUCAGACACAGUAAUUCUACUCAAAGAAAAAGCAACUCCAACCCUAAAAGUGGCAAAUCCAAUUGAUUUGAUGUGCAAAUAAAUGUUAACUGGAAAUGAGAAUGUACUGCAAAUGCAUAAUGCCAAAAUAACUUCACAUUUAAAAGGCUGUGAAUCAUCUACUUAACCCAAAAACAAACGGAUGUCACGGUGGUAAAAAAUGUUUUCAUCUAGUUUCAGAAAGUACUUUACACAGUAAGACUGAAUUCAUGUCAUUUACUGUAAAUGUGCUUCUGUUUUUCCAUUAAUCUGGUUUCUUUUCAAGUAUUGAUCUCAAUGAAACAUUUAUGUGCAGUAUAUUUUGUAGAGUGUAAUGACAAUGACAUGGUAAGAUGAAAUGAGCCUGAAAACAUCCAGCUAUUGCAGAUUUUGCUUUUGAAAUGCUGUGCUUUAACUCUACAAUAGUUUGUAGGCAAUAACUGAAAUUAAACUGCUCUGGAAUUAUCCCACAUCUUUAGUGCUGAGCUGCCUUUGUAAUUCUACAUUAUAAUAAAAAUAUAGUUCAACAAAAAUGAUGAAUAACAUGCAACCAGAAAAUAUACAAAAUUCAAUGCACAUGUGAAUUAAAUUAGUCCUUCCCCUUGCAGCCGUGACAUAUUUGAGUCAGUCAAUGUGAAGUCAGGACAAUCCAAUAGUGUAAAAUACAAUAUUCAGAAAUGUGAGUCCUGCUGAAUGGGUCUUAUUGCUAAUCUUAGUAGUUUUAAAUGCGACUUUUACCAAAAUUUAGAAUGCAGAUCUUUUGUAUAAUUUUUUACCUGUACACUACUCUUCUGUGGUCUUUCCUCUGCAGUAUUUUAGUUUCAUGACUGCCUCCCUAAAACUGUGCAUCACAUAUCCAUGAAAGUAAACAUUUGUUGAGGUGUCACUUUCAUUACUUCACAGCUUUGUCAACUGAAGUAAAGAUCAUCAUCCCAUAUAACGGCAGCAGCAAUCAUUACACUAAAAAAAUCAUGCAUGGGUUGCAAAGAAGUGAGUUAGAGUCUCCCUCUAGUGGUUAAUACUGAGAAGUCAACUAGUUGUAGCAAAAGCCAGUGCAACACAUCUUCUUGCUGCUGCCAACAGUAAGUGUGGACAUUAAAACAGUUGUGCCUCAUUGUUUACUUUCUUUUUCAUGCCUUUUUUAUGUUUUGAUAGAGUGUGUAUUUUGCUAGUCUAAGAAUUAUAUAAGGACAAACG
rnacentral:lncRNA from 1 species